rnacentral:rRNA from 1 species
GACGAACGCUGGCGGCGUGCUUAACACAUGCAAGUCGAACGAAGAGCGAUGGAAGCUUGCUUCUAUCAAUCUUAGUGGCGAACGGGUGAGUAACGCGUAAUCAACCUGCCCUUCAGAGGGGGACAACAGUUGGAAACGACUGCUAAUACCGCAUACGAUCUAAUCUCGGCAUCGAGGAUAGAUGAAAGGUGGCCUCUACAUGUAAGCUAUCACUGAAGGAGGGGAUUGCGUCUGAUUAGCUAGUUGGAGGGGUAACGGCCCACCAAGGCGAUGAUCAGUAGCCGGUCUGAGAGGAUGAACGGCCACAUUGGGACUGAGACACGGCCCAGACUCCUACGGGAGGCAGCAGUGGGGAAUCUUCCGCAAUGGACGAAAGUCUGACGGAGCAACGCCGCGUGAGUGAUGACGGCCUUCGGGUUGUAAAGCUCUGUUAAUCGGGACGAAAGGCCUUCUUGCCAAUAGUGAGAAGGAUUGACGGUACCGGAAGAGAAAGCCACGGCUAACUACGUG